rnacentral:rRNA from 1 species
GACGAACGCUGGCGGCGUGCCUAAUACAUGCAAGUAGAACGCUGAAGCUUGGUGCUUGCACCGAGCGGAUGAGUUGCGAACGGGUGAGUAACGCGUAGGUAACCUGCCUGGUAGCGGGGGAUAACUAUUGGAAACGAUAGCUAAUACCGCAUAAUAGUAGAUGUUGCAUGACAUUUGCUUAAAAGGUGCAAUUGCAUCACUACCAGAUGGACCUGCGUUGUAUUAGCUAGUUGGUGAGGUAACGGCUCACCAAGGCAACGAUACAUAGCCGACCUGAGAGGGUGAGCGGCCACACUGGGACGGAGACCCGGCCCAGACUCCUACGGGAGGCAGCAGUAGGGAAUCUUCGGCAAUGGACGGAAGUCUGACCGAGCAACGCCGCGUGAGUGAAGAAGGUUUUCGGAUCGUAAAGCUCUGUUGUAAGAGAAGAACGAGUGUGAGAGUGGAAAGUUCACACUGUGACGGUAUCUUACCAGAAAGGGACGGCUAACUACGUG